CUUGGGUUCUUUGUCCAUUCUUUAAGAAUUUGCCAAAUUUUAGCAAAUAUCAAGUGAAUUUCAAAUGCCCAAGAACGUGAGAGCGCCCUGGAGCAGUACAAAUCUUAACAAAAAAUCAAAUGAACUUCCUUGCUCAUAAAAACGUGAAAAACUCCCUGGAGCUUUGAGAUUAGAAAGGAAACGUUAGCUUUCCUUGUCUUGAAAGCAUUAUAUCAUGUUUAGCCAUUUCAAGCUUCAACAAAAAUGUUUUCCAACCAAGGAAAAAUCCAACGAGAAUAUUAUACGGAUUUUUUCCUACUCCAGGUAUGUUAAGGCUAAGCUCUUCCUUCAUUUUACAUGACCUCGUAACUACAAAAGUUUGAUAAUGAGCCAUAAAGAAAAAUUCAUAUCCAGAAAUUUACGUAUAUUUUGCUAGUCUCGCAAAUUACGUAUAUUUUUCUAGUUUUGUAAGUUACAAUAUUCUCCUUAGUGGGACUUCAUAUUCAAUUGAGUAUUUUCUUCUUCCAGUCAAGAGAGCAGAGAAUUUACAUAUAUACAGUAUUAAAAGUAUUUUCAUUACCAUCGAGCUAUAAUCGAUGGGCAGGCCCCUAUUGGGCAACCUCUGAUCAGAUGGUAAGUUAUAUAACGAUCCUACUGUGACCGAGCGCAUAUGAGCGAUCCUAGUUGGUCGAGAUACAUAGCCUAGUAUGGCCGAGCACCUAUGAGCGAGCCUACUACGGUAGAGGAUUUAUAUAUAUACCGAACCUUAUAGGGCCGGACAACUAUUUUACUUACUAUAUUGAGAGAAUUGAGUGUCAGUAGGUAAGCAUAUCUUCAAAUUAUCUUUGACUUCCAGUUACUUAUAGUAAUUAUAUUAUCAAUUCAGUUUCAGCUUUUAGUAUAUUGCCUUACAUACUCAGUACAUUAUUUCGUACUGACGUCCCUUUCCUGGGGGUGCUGCAUUUCAUGUGUGCAGGUUCAGACAGACAGGCGGGUAGACCUCCUCAUUAAGUGUUACCCGAGUUUAGCUUGAUUGGUAAGCUCCAUGCCUUUCGGAGUUGCCGGGUCUAGAGCUUUAUGUACAUCUUGUGUAUAUAUGUAUAUAUGGUAUGAAUAGGUCGGGGAGCUAUUUUCGAUCACAAUGUAUCUACUAGUAGAGACUUGUAGGCAUUUCCUGUUAGUUAGUGCAAUAUGUUGGGCUUGUAGACCCUGUAUGUAUAUUUGGUAGGUUUGUUAGUUGCAAUAAUUACGAUGGCCUUGUCGGCGCAGCUUUAUAUUGAUAUUUAGUUAGCAUUCGCAGUUUGUCUUGCAACUGGUGCAUGACCAAAGUAUGACAUCAUAUGU
rnacentral:lncRNA from 1 species